GACGAACGCUGGCGGCGUGCUUAAUACAUGCAAGUCGAACGGAAAGGCCCUGCUUUUGUGGGGUGCUCGAGUGGCGAACGGGUGAGUAACACGUGAGUAACCUGCCCUUGACUUUGGGAUAACUUUAGGAAACUGGGGCUAAUACCGGAUAGGAGCUCCUGCUGCAUGGUGGGGGUUGGAAAGUUUCGGCGGUUGGGGAUGGACUCGCGGCUUAUCAGCUUGUUGGUGGGGUAGUGGCUUACCAAGGCUUUGACGGGUAGCCGACCUGAGAGGGUGACCGGCCACAUUGGGACUGGGAUACGGCCCAGACUCCUACGGGAGGCAACGGUGGGGAAGAUUACACAAUAGGCUGAAGCCUGAUGCAACAACGCCGCGUGCGGGAUGACAGCCUUCGGGUUGUAAACCGCUUUCGCCUGUGACGAAGCGUGAGUGACGGUAAUGAGUAAAGAAGCACCGGCUAACUACGUG
rnacentral:rRNA from 1 species